GCUCCGGUGGUCUAGUGGUAGAGUAUCCGCCUCAAAUGCGUGAGGUCGCGGAUUUGAACCCCGGCCGAGUCU